GCCUCCACGAGGACACAGGAUCGAUCCCUGGCCUCACUCAGUAGGUUAAGGAUCAGGCGUUGCCAUGAGCUAUGGCGGAGGUCACAGACGCGGCUCGGAUCUGGAGGUGCUGUGGCUCUGGCGUAGGCUGGCAGCUACGGCUUCGAUUGGACCCCUAGCCCGAGAACCACCAUAUACUGCAGGUGAGGCCCUAAAAAGACAAAAAAUCCAAUUAGAUCAAACAUGGGAAUGAUCCUCCUUGCUUGUCCUCCUUCCUUGCUCUUCUAGGAGGAUGACUCAGCCCCACCACAGCCCCAGAAUUUAAGCACAUCCCCAGGAGCUUCCAUUGCAGCUCAGUGGUAAUGAUCCGGACUGGUAUCCAUGAGGACACGGGUUCGAUCCCUGGCCUCGCUCAGUGGGUUAAGGAUCUGGCAUUAUUGUGAACUGUGGUGUAGGUUGCAGACGUGGCUCAGAUCUGGUGAGGCUGUGGCUGUGGCUAAGCCGGCAGCUGUAGCUCUGAUUUGACCCCUAGCCUGGGAACCUUCAUAUACUGUGAAUGUAGCCCUUAAAAAGCAUUUAAAAAAAAAAAAAAAGAAAGAAAAAAAAGAUAAGGCUCGAGGAGUUGUCUGGUAGCCUAUGGUUAAGGACCUACCAUUGCCAAGGCUGUGGUUUGGGUCACUGUUGCAGCACGAGUUUGAUCCCUGGCAUGGCCAUUUUUAUAUGUUGCAGGCACAGCCAAAAAAAAAUUUUUUUUUUAAAUAAAAAGGCAUGGGGGAAACUAUCACAAAUUUUCAAGUCAGGGGGGUGAAAUCACAGGUUUCUGUACAUGAUCCCAACUGACACAGAAAGUCUUGAGAACCAGCGUGUGAACCUCGCCUGACAGGCUGAGACGACGUGCUUUUGGCUUCUUGAACAUGAAGGCCUCCCGAGGAGAACAGACUACAAAAUACUCCAACAAAAGCAGGAGUUUAAAGGCAAAUGUCCAGGGAGAUUCGAGAAGAAAGGAGCUGUGUAACUACCAAGGUUGUCACCAUCCCUUGCUGAAACGGUUUCUUUUCUUCUUCUUCUUCUUUUUAACUUUUUAGGGCCGCACCCACAGCGUAUGGGGUCAAAUUGGAGCUGUGACCACCGGCCUCCACCACAGCCACAACAACGUGGGAUCCGAGUCGUGUCUACAACCUACACCACAGCUCACGGCAAGGCCAAACCCAUCAGACUCACUUCCGCGGAGCCAUCACGGGAGCUCCUGGAAGUGGUUUCGGAGUCGUCAGGGCUGUGAUGGCCUAAGAACAUCUGUCCAUAGAGAAAGGGGUGUUAUGUUGACAGUGUAAGUAUCGAGGUGGAAGGCGGAGGAGGGCUGAGUGGAAAAGUGCUGUGGAGACGGGGAAGUUCAGGACAAUAAACGAAAUAUGCCAGGAAAUAACAGUGUGUCCACCCACAUCAAGGGAGGAAGAUGGGGCCCGAGAAAGAGCCUGAGGAGGGACAGGUGGGUGCCCACGAGGGAGCACGGGGCUCAGCUUGUGACGGUGCACAUGUGUGAGAACAAAACUGCACGGGGGCAACUGAGACACUGACCUUUAAGAAAAAGAAGAGUUGAUUUAGCAAGUCGCAUACAACGGUCCCAUUUUAACUCCCGUUUUAACUCCAGGACUUCUUUUAUGAGUAAGGGAAAGAAUGAAAGAUUUACAUGUUGUAAGUUGAUGGCGUUCCCGUGGUGGCGCAGUGGUUAAUGAAUCCGACUAGGAACCAUGAGGUUGCGGGUUCGAUCCCUGGCCUUGCUCCGUGGCUUAAGGAUCCAGUGUUGCCGUGAGUUGUGGUGUAGGUUGCAGAUGCCACUCGGAUCCAGCAUUGCCGUGGCUGUGGCGUAGGCUGACGGCUACAGCUCUGAUUUGACCCCUAGCCUGGGAACCUCCAUAUGCCGCGGGAAGUGGCCCUAGAAAAGGCAAAACAGACAGACAAACAAAAAAACGUUGUAAGUUGAAAUGAACUUGACAUCUGUUACACGACUUGCCACGUCAUAUAUCAACCUGAUUAUUGCACAGGUUGUAUUUCCGUGUGUCGACUCACUAAAAACAUACAUCAUAUUCCCAGAGAGGACGAGAUGAUGUUCUUAGCAUUUCUGAAACCAGGAAAACGCCCCCAGGAACUGGCUCUCUCUGGGUGAGGAUCCAAAACAGAAAAGUAUGUGCACUACAAACUAGAGACGCGGCUGAAAAAUACGAGAAAAUAUGAGAAAAGUUAUCCCCACUUCUUGGGCUGGAAGUCAGUAUCAUCGGAAUGUAAAUACCACCCUACAUAAGCAGCAGAGUCUACCCAGUCGCUACUAACAUCCCAAGGGUGUCCUGAAGAAAUAGGUAAAAGUCACACGCAAUCUCAAAAGAUGCUCCACACAGAAAACAAGAUUGAAAAGAAUGAAGCUGGAAGCUUCACAAUUAUUCCAAACCUCUUAGCAACCUAAAAUACCCAAAGCAGUGCAGUCCUGGCAUGAUGGCAGAGAGAUCAAUGGCAUCCAACAGAGAAAACAAAUAAACGCUUGCGUAUGGGGUCAAAGGAUGUUCCCCAAGGGUGCCAGGAACAUUAACUGGGGAAGGAUCGUCUAUUGAGCAAAAUGAAUUCUGGUUCACACUGAGAUGUCAUUCUAGGAGUUCCCGUUGUGGCUCAGCAGUAGCAAAUCCGACCAGGAACCAUGAGGACGCAGGUUCAAUCCCUGGCCUUGCUCAGUGGGCGAAGGAUCUGGCGUUGCUAUGACCUGUGGUGUAGGCUGCAGACAUGGUUUAGAUCCCACGUUGCUGUGGCUGUGGCCGGCAGCUCCAGCUCCAAUUCAACCCCUAACCUAGGAACUUCCGUGUGCCAAGAGUGUGGCCCUAAAAAGACCAAAAAAAAAAAAAAAAAAAAA
rnacentral:lncRNA from 1 species